rnacentral:misc_RNA from 1 species
AACUGGUUUCCGGUGACCAAAGCGCGCAGAAACCAGAGGUUUCUCAGACGGUAGAAGAAGCUCCGGCAGAUUCUCCGACGAAUCCAUUCCCUUCGGAGGAAUCCAUGUGGACUUUGAGAUUGCAAAGUCAUCCUCAACCUCCAUAGUACUUUUAUUCUCAAAAACAGGACCUGCACCACUCUUCUCCUGUCUCUGCUCGUAUACAUCCUCCGCCACCACAACCGUCGACUCCAUACCCCCAUAAUCGGAUAAAAUCUCCGCAGCCGAAAUCUUAAUCUGGUAGUGAAACUGAUCCGGCGCCUCAUGAAUCGAGAUUUUCGGAGCAGGUGGUAUUUGCUCCUGCUGUUCUUUAUCGGAGGCACCAUGGGUGUGAUGGAGACGAGAGGAGGCAGCGAUGGUGAUGAUGAUGCAGUUGAGUAUAACAUAAAGAUAAGGGGGUUUAAGCCAGGAAGCGAUUGAGCCCCAUAUAAGAGGAGCUUGAUAAAC